rnacentral:rRNA from 1 species
GAUGAACGCUGGCGGCGUGCCUAAUACAUGCAAGUCGAGCGAACGGACGAGAAGCUUGCUUCUCUGAUGUUAGCGGCGGACGGGUGAGUAACACGUGGAUAACCUACCUAUAAGACUGGGAUAACUUCGGGAAACCGGAUCUAAUACCGGAUGAUAUUUUGAACCGCAUGGUUCAAAAGUGAAAGACGGUCUUGCUGUCACUUAUAGAUGGAUCCGCGCUGCAUUAGCUAGUUGGUAAGGUAACGGCUUACCAAGGCAACGAUGCAUAGCCGACCUGAGAGGGUGAUCGGCCACACUGGAACUGAGACACGGUCCAGACUCCUACGGGAGGCAGCAGUAGGGAAUCUUCCGCAAUGGGCGAAAGCCUGACGGAGCAACGCCGCGUGAGUGAUGAAGGUCUUCGGAUCGUAAAACCCUGUUAUUAGGGAAGAACAUAUGUGUAAGUAACUGUGCACAUCUUGACGGUACCUAAUCAGAAAGCCACGGCUAACUACGUG